rnacentral:rRNA from 1 species
AUACGGAGGGUGCAAGCGUUAUCCGGAUUUAUUGGGUUUAAAGGGUGCGUAGGCGGUUUGCUAAGCGGGAGGUGAAAUGCCGGCGCUCAACGUCGGAAGUGCCUCCCGAACUGGUGGACUUGAAUGACUCUGCCGUGGGAGGAAUGUGUAGUGUAGCGGUGAAAUGCUUAGAGAUUACACAGAACACCGAUUGCGAAGGCAUCUCACGAAGGGUUGAUUGACGCUGAGGCACGAAAGCGUGGGGAUCAAACAGGAUUGGAUACCCUGGUAGUCCACGCAGUAAACGAUGAUGGCUAACCGCUGGGCUUAUCAGUUCAGUGGCCAAGCGAAAGCGAUAAGCCAUCCACCUGGGGAGUACGACCGCAAGGUUGAAACUCAAAUGAAUUGACGGGG